CAUACACGCCUGAAUAUCGGCCGGUGAAAUGAUGAAGAUCUUACCGGACAUCUUCAUCAGAAAAUCCUUAGGACGUGGUAGGGACUUGGGUCUUUUUUUCUGGGACAUCGCCGAUUGCAAUCAGGUUCACAUUUUACCAUGGCUUUAUAAGAAUGAUUUAAAUAAACUAGCAACUGAAAGGAAAUAAUCAGCCAAAUAAUCUCUAUAUCUGCGCGCGUUCUGAACGUUUGGGUGUGAGUGUGAAACAAAAGCUCAAUACUGCCUAAUAACCCGUUGUCGUUGGCGGCUGUACAGCAUUUAUGAUAAAUUAUCUUUUGAGAUAUUUUUUUCGCCACAAUUUCUAAAAAGACUGAAAUAUUUCAAUCCCCCAAGAGAGAUAAAAGAGGGCAUCAAAUUUAAAAAACAAAAAAACCAAACGCAACAAAAGGAGCAACAUUUUUGUG
rnacentral:sRNA from 1 species